UUUGAUUUGCAUUAAUCGAAAUCGAUCGAUAAAUGAUAAGUCUUAAAAAUGCCACUUGACUUUGAAUCUAGGAUUUUUAAUAUUGAAAAUAUUCAGUUUAAUUACCGGUUACUUAUUUAAUUUAUUAAAAUAAUUAAUAAAAUAAAUAAAAUGAUAGAAGAAAAUAUUAAAACGAUUGGGGCAAAGUAAAGUAUGAUGGGAUGAAGAAAAUAGUAAAGAUAAACAAACAUGGACCAAAGGCCCAAACACAAUCAAAAUAAAAAACAAAUAAAAAAAG
rnacentral:lncRNA from 1 species